CGUGUAGGCGGCUUUGCAAGUCGGGUGUGAAAGCCCUCAGCUCAACUGAGGAAGUGCGCCCGAAACUGCAGAGCUUGAGUACCGGAGAGGAUGGCGGAAUUCCCCAAGUAGAGGUGAAAUCCGUAGAUAUGGGGAGGAACACCGGUGGCGAAGGCGGCCAUCUGGACGGAUACUGACGCUGAGACGCGAAAGCGUGGGGAGCAAACA
rnacentral:rRNA from 1 species